GGAGAAAGGCUGUAGAUGGUAGAGCAUCUAUCUUGUAUGAAGAAGGUCCCAGGUUCAAUUCUUGGAACCUCCA